UCAUUGGUUGGAAGCUCGAGGGCGGGUGGCAGGGCAUGGCCGCCGCGCGCGCAUGCGUACUCUUUCGGCUUCCCUUUCCCCGGCGAAGUGAGCGGCUGGGCUCGGGGGUUAUCAGGGUGAUGCAUCCCGCCCCCCACCCCCCCCUGCCCUUUGGAGAAGGCAACUGCCUUAUCUUUUCCGUUAGGCGUGACUAAGAGAAAGUCAGAGCGGCCGGAACUGUCAGACGUUACUCAAUCUGAUGCGGGCCCAGCGUCAGAGCCAGAUCUAAACCGCAGUAUAGAAUCGGUGCUUUCUGCAUAUCAAAACAAGUGUUGAUUUGGAAAAUGGAAGCAGUUUUGAAGAAACUGGGAGAGGGGAGCGGCUCUUUCGGCAAAGGCUGGUACAUACCGGUAUCAUGACGAAGGAAGGUUAUAAAAACGCAUGAGGCUCUUAAUUGGGCAUUUCUAUAUUAGUGAUGGGUCGUUUCGAAUCAGUCUUGACUUAUGGCGACUGCCUGGAAAAAGUUCCUGCGUUUACUUGGCAGGACUUCGGAAGUGGUUUGCCAUUGCCUGCUUUCUAAGGCUGAGAGAGAGUGACCGGCCCAUAGUCAUCCUGCUGGUUUCAUGUCUGAGUUGGGAUUAGAACUCACAGCCUCCCAGGGUCCAGCCUGCUACCUUAAUCACUAUAACAAAUUAGCUGCCUAAAUCCAAACUGCCUGGCCCCAGUCGGAGAAAUAUACAGGCUGUUUGCUGAACUGUAUCCUAUAUUUCCUUUACAGGUCCUUCCAAUUGGCUGAUUCUGGUUUGAAAAUUUGGGACCACCAUCAGCAAGAUGGAUCAACUCAGUAACAUUGGCAAUGAGCAUAUCAUUGGAAAACCUGAAAGAACAGGUUAGAGACUGAUCAUGGAGAAAAUCUUGAUGGGACAUAAGCCACUAUGCCUGGACUGGAAAUAUCCGUAGGACCAACCAGAUUAUGGCUAUGAAUUAACUGUUUAAGUAAUUCUUUGUGGCCAUCUUGUGGAUGCACUGAAAUUUGCAGGCCAGAUAUAAUAAAUGUACUUUAUAGACACGGAGGUAAAAUACAAAAAUUGCUCUAUGGAAAUUGCUUUAUUAAAGAUUCCUCAAACUAGUAACUCAACUGCACUAAGCCAUGGUUGGCUUAAUUAUGGUUUAUUGAAGAAAUGGUUGAAUUUACAUAGCAAAAGGUAUAUAAAAGUAUACUUAUAAGCUAUAAGUAUAGCUUAUAAACCACAAUGGCUUCUGAUUUAGCUAUUAGGUUGACUAAAAUCCACUUUUAAUUAUAAGAGUUAGCACAAUUGUUGGCACUAAAAUGGGCUUUUGAAUCAAAAUUCCUUUUUAGAAAGAACAGUUAAUGCCACUAUAAUUAUAUUUUUCCUUCCUUUGUCCUUGAUUUCUAGCAAUGAUUAAUAACAGAAUAGAACAGCUUUCUACAUUCCUAUAGAUCAUAUUUCAGACAAAUCUAUUCAGGACAAAGUAAUAAAGAAAUCUGAAGCUGAAGAAAAUGCUUUUCAAUAUAUUCAAUAAGAUUUUUUUCUUUCAGUAAUGUACUAUCACAAUUAACAAAAAUGCAUUUAGAAUGUUAGAAAAAAACUUUUAGGUAUCAGUAAGGUCUGACCUGUACUAAAUUUUCUUUAGUAUAAUUUCACAUGCAGUUAUAUCACCUAAAAUAUAUGUGGAGUGAAAAGAAACAGCAGCAGCAAAAUCUACAGGGUUACUUUCACAUAUAACAUAGUUUGCCAUAAUGUGGUUUGCUUUUGGCUUCAUAACUAAUAACCUAUAGCUUAUUGUGUUGUGCUAGAUAUAUAUUGCUUGUUUAAUUUCUAAUUUAGCUUCCUGUCAUUUCCAUUCAUCUUUUACUAAUUUGUACCCAGAGAUCCAGAAAGAGGCUGAAAGUUACAAGAUAUAUGUUGCUUCCUUUGAAUGAGUUUCAAUUUAAUACUGUGAUUUUUUUAAUGUUUUUUUGAAAAUAUAUUUUUAGCAAGAAGGAGUAGGUGGAUGUAAAAACAGAAGGGUUUAGAACACUGAGUGCAGAUGGAUAUGUAACUUUUGGAUGUAACUCACUGUAGAAAAGGAACAUUAAUAAUAACAGCAGAAACUUUUAAUAGGAUAUAACUGAAGAAAGUGGAUUAUUGAAGUAAUGCCAGCCAAUUUUGGUAUCAGUUACUAAUCAGUAUUUCCUAGAAUUUAUUCUAAUUAGCAAUACUUAAAGGCCAUCUUAAGCAUUCAUAUCCUAUGCUACAAAACAUGCAGUAUAGUUUCCAUCUGUUUUAAGACACAUACUAACAUAUACUUUAACGUGCUAAUCUUGAAUUUGGGAAGCUGGACCGUAGUGGUUGGUCAUAUGAAAAGUAUUAAUGCUAAAUGAGAUUUCUUUUUGUUCAUGUUUAGAUCACAAAAGAUUCAAAAUUUAUAGUUUUUUCAAAUGUUCUUAGACUAAACUUCUUUCAUCCCUGGCAUUUAAAAUUGAUUUUGAAUCAGAGUUGGUUUCAGAAAAAAUAAGUGAUUUAUAUUAUGUAAGAGUACAAGAGUUAACCAAUGUGUAAACUAACCUGUUUCUUAUUUUGGUAUGCAAUGUUCCUGUCAUACUACUUGUGAGACAAGGAAAUAGCCCUGGUGGGAGAGCAACUAAAGUCCAAGAACAAGGACAAUUACUCCAAAAGAGAAAUAGACUGCUAAUUGUUUUAGCAAUUGGCAUCCUAGAACUGAACUCCUGAAGCUCUGCCAUGAAAGCAGAUUUCAUUCCUGAUGGUUCCUUAUUGUGUUGAGUCAUGAGGAAGAGCUCUCCAUAUUGAACUAUAAUAAUUUUUAAAAGUUAAAAAAAAUAGGCACUCUCUAUAUUGAAUCCCACAUUAUGGCAGUGGAGGAUCUCAGAAAGGUUUCAAGGAAUAACUUCUUGUUGUAACCCAAGGAAUUCCUAGUAUGGUAGUGACACAGUACAGAUUGCACACAAACACGGAAUAAAAUACAUACUGUUUACAGUAUGGACAGAGGCAUUAAACUAAGCCAUAGUGCAGUCUGUUUGUUGGAUUUGGGCAUGUAUUGACUAAAUCCAAUCAUGGUGGUUUGUAAAGUAUGGUCUGUGGCGUAAAUUCCCAGAGAUGCCAAUGUAUUUAGUACUUAGUUUCAUAAUCCUUGGUUCCCACCAGCUUUCACAUCCACCUGUUUUUUUUGUUUUUUUUUUAGAUUAUGUUUUUGCAAAAGAGUGAUCAUUUAACUUUUUUCUAAGAUUGACAUGUAAGUUGUAUGGUCAAUUUGCAUUGCGGGUGAUUUUCACAUAUGCUGGAAUAUCAAGCUUUCAUAAAAUCUGAAACAUUGAAUGACUAUACUCUUGAUUUUCUGAUGUUUUAGGAUGAAUUUUGAGUAAGCUUUAUCAACCAACUGCUGUCAAAAUAAUUUAGUACAAUUAUGAUGUAAUCAUUGCAUGACAACCAUUGUAUGCUUUAUAUGAUAGAUAAAUUGUGGAAGGAAGGAAGGAAGGAAGGAAGGAAGGAAGGAAGGAAGGAAGAGACAAUACAGAAUGAAUGAAAGAAUUUGGCUAAUUUGAUGAAAUCAUUCAUUAUUAUAAUUUGUUGAGGGAAAAAAGUUUGAUUCUCUUAGUAGUUGUGAAUGCCAGUUUUUAAUAGUUCUAUUAAAACAAAAUGCAUAUGCCAUUAUGUAUUAACAUUGUCCUUAACAAUUAUAUUUGCUUUAAUUCUAUGUUUGUUGUAAUACUUGUCCAUUAGGCUGAUUAAUAAAAUUCCAAUAAUGAAUUAUAAACAUAAUAUUGUCAUAUUAAAAUUGGUUUCUAUAAACUGUAGUGAACAAGCAAAUUACAAAGUUAGCAUGUUUUUAUCAAAAUAUACAAAGCCCUCAAAUGUAACAGAAGCUAUUAUUUUCCAUAUGAGUUAAACAGUUAUAGAAAAUAUUUGUACAAUUAUCACUACAUACAAAUCUUAACCAACGUUGGCUUUGGUCUAGAAUUAUUGAGAUAAUAUUGUUUUACAAAGUCUCAUAAAGUACUUAUUUUAAACAGCUUAUAGUAAUUAUAAUUUUGUAAGUGAUAGAUUUUCACAUCAAAAAUGUUUUAUGUAUAUAGUUAGAUCUUUUUCAGUGCUUAUAUUGUGAGGGAUACGUUCUAUUUAGUUACGUGCAAAAUGACAUCAGACAAAUUAAGAAUAAAUAUGUUAUCAUCACAAUUUCUGUUAUAUAACGUGGAAAUGUGAGCAUAAAAGGCCAAAAUUAGAUGUACCAAAUAGAAUACUCUUCAUUUAGAUACUUUUUCUAUAAUAAAAUGUGUGCAGUUUUCUACAUU